CCUACUUCGUGUUUACGAAAGCUGGGAGCAGGCCUCAAAGUGGGUUUGCGAGUCCCUGGUGUCAUGUAGUGAGAACUGCUUUAGUGUUGGCUUCGCGUCAGCCCACCAAAAAAUAUUUUGAUUCCCCUAGCAAUUAUAAAUACGUACACGGAGAAAGCUGGGUCUGAAAUCCUGAACUGGGAAAGCAGACUGCUCAUUAAUAUCCCACUACUCCAUAAAAGCUGAAGCAAAAGUGAUGGAGCGCUUACCUAGGCCACGGUGUACGUGAAUUGGACACUGUCUUAGAGAUACACAAGCUCUAGUUCCAGCUAGAGCCUAUUCUUCUUAUCAACAGUGUGAAUAUGACCCUCAUCUGUAAAACAAGAACGGGGUUGGAAACCUGCACUUCACGUAUGAUAAAUACAUGAUCCACAUAGGCUCUGGGCCUCUAACUUCUGAUAAGGACUAGCUCAUGGGAUACACCAGCCAGAGAUUGCAGAGUGGAAAUAAAAUGUAGGUACGUGUAUAUCACUGUCUGCAUCCAUCAUGCAUGUGGGACUGUUAAAGUUUCAUCCUCUAUGACCUUAGCAAUGUCAACAUAUGUCACUAGGAAAGUAGUAUAAGCUACACACACAUACACACACACACACACACACACACACACACACACACAUACAUCAGACAGUGCCAAGCAUGGUCUCUUACAGAGAAAAUAUUUUGCUAAAUCAUUCGUUCCAUUAGAUCUGUUAAACAAUGAAUUUCAAAAUUUGUCUCUAGAAAAAUCUGUUCUUUCACCAUAAACUGCUAAUUAAUGACACUUUUUCCCAGAUAGCCAUAGGCUGAAUGAUUUACAUGUCUACCUCUGUUAAACAGAAAUUCUUUAUCUGUCACAGAAGAAACAAAUGCAUGUACAGUACUAUACUGCAAAACACAGGUUUCAUAGUCAGCAUGAUAAUAUCAUUCACUCAUGCAUCUAUGUCACUUUAUCACACUUUUAACGUGCUGUUAACAUCGUAACUUUUAACAUGAUCUGCCAAAGAAAGUAGUUGACACAUUCCAAGAAUGCUUUGCAGGGUUCUCGUUACCUGGAGUGAUUCAUAUAAUUAUUUCUAACUCUGUGAAAUACAGUGACAACAUACAUACUUACAGAAGUAGUUUGUACACCACAUUGCACAGAACCCAAGAUUUUGCACAGUUAUAUUAUAUAAACUCACACAGAAUUUCUACAUAUUUCACUAGAGAAAGUAUUUCAUGCACAGCACAUUGCCAAAUACAGUGUCUCACCCAGCUGUCAGUACACUGAUUCAGUUAUGCAUUAUGCCUAUUAAAUAUAGUUUAGAUGUAUAUUGCUAAGGUAAUUAACACACUACAUAGUGUUUUACACUGCUGUAAAUUUGUACAAGAUACUCUUAAUUUUUUUAAAGAAAUCACUGAAGAGUGCAGUGUAAACUCUGUAUACUGCUGAAUACUGUGUACCAUAAGUUGUCACUGGACUGAUUCACUUAAUGUCUGUAGCUCAGUUGAACAGAGUUUCAACCUGUAUCGAGAAUAGCAUUUGUGUCCUCCCUCUUCCAUUAAGCACAAGAGUCUGAGCAUACAGUAUGUGAUUGGAACACACAGUCUAUAGUUAAAUUUUAAAAAUUUCUUACACUAAAGAUAUUUAAUCAUUAAUUACCCUUAUAACACUUCCCCUUAGUUUGAACAAACUCAUCCUAUCACUCUGGUUUCUGAAGCAGUUCUGGAAGUCUUCUUUUGUGUCUUAAGUUGCAUUGUCAUGGUAGACUCAGUGUCCUGAAUUGAUUCAAAUGUUUCCCUUUCAUGGUCAUUUUGAUUUUGAGGAAGAGCUAUGAGAUGUGUGGUGCCAAACGUGGUGAAUAAGGUGUAAGAGUGAUAGGAAACUACAGCAAUAAUCACACCAGCUCGGGCUAGGGAUUUAGCUCAGUGGCAUAAGCGUCUGCCUGGCAAGCAUGAGGUCAUGAGUUCAAGCCCCAGUACUCCCCCCCAAAUCACACCAGCUCUACUAUAUGUGCACAUAUCAGGAGAUCAUUCCUAUGCCUUCAUCACCAUUGUCACUCACUUUUAACAGCGACAAUGCAUGGGACCCAGGUUUGUCAUUUCCCUCAUUAGCAAUUCCUCAAUUGUUCUUAGGUAGAUCUUACUUUUUAAAAAGCAUCAAUUUGGGGGAGGAAUGAAAAUGGCAGCAGAUAGAUAAAAACUGGCUACAGAGGCUCCCUGAGAUAGUCAACUUAGAAUUCAACAUAAUACAGAAUGGGGAGCCCCAGAGGGAGAUGAAUUCUCUCAUCCCAAGAAGAAAUUAAGGUGAGAAGAACCAACCAAACAGUCCCGGUGCUAUUAUUGGAACAGCUAAAGGUUCAGUGUUCCCGCCACAGUGGGUGACUUGCCGACCAUCCGUGGUCCCACCACAACUUGCCGAGGUCCCGCCGUGACUUGCCAAGCCAUCCAAGCUCCUCCCACUUCGACUCACUGGAGGCACCAUUACAUUGAGUUCGGGGGUUGGUGAGCCAAAUGGAGAGCUGAGUUGGCAGGGUGCCUACAUUGACCUGUGAUGAGUGAUGAGAAUGGAGUCAUUCCAUAGAAAGGGGGGCUCCGGCGGAUGACAUUCUGGGACUGGGCAGGACUGGCAAGUACAAGUGGCAGCAGUGACUUCAGUCAGUUGUUUCCUUCCCAAAUGGGAUUGGUGGAGUGAACUAGGCCUGGGUCACAUGACCUGGCUGCGACCCAAUAGGUUAUCUGAAAUCAGAUCCCAACAGUGGUGGUGCACACUAACCACACUAACCCAGUGAAGCCUCAAGUUUGAUUGAACUAGAGGGGAGGCAGUGCAAAGUAAUACAGUGCAGGCCACAGCAGCUUGACUGACCCGGAGGGGAGGCAGUGCAAAGUAAUACAUUGCAGGCCACAGCAGCUUGACUGACCCAGAGGGAAUGCAGCAUAUAGUAAUACAAUGCAGGCCACAGCAGGAAAGGGGCUAGCAUACACUGUCCCUGUCUGCAACUCACUAGCACACAGCAGUGGGAAGGGUCAUAUAGCCAGUGUGCUUCAAAAAAUUGUAACCAACAAAGAAAGAAAUUGAGGACUCCUGGAAGAAGCAAAAAAGAUGGGAAGACGAAAAAACAACAAAAAGUCCCCAGGUCCCAACCUUGAGAACAUUGACCCAGGGCAAGUAAAUACAAAGGAGAAUGAGAACAGCAAACAUGCAAUAUCAGACACAGCACCAGUGGAAAUAAAGAGAUAUCUUCAGGACCUCAUAGACAAGUUCAGAAGGGAAAUAUUUAGCCAAGUAAAGCAAGAUAUAAGAAGAUUAAUAAAUGAGAUGCUAAGUACCCCUCAAGAAGACACAGAUGAAAGAAGGGAAGAACUCAAAGGAGAGAACCAUUUGAUGAAGAAUAUAAAAAAUAUAGAAUAUAUGAAGCAGAUUCAAAGAGAUCAUCAGGAAAUUAAAAACUCUAUGGAAAGAUGGCAAAUCAGCUUGAAAGAAACUAAGGAUAGAUUAUCCAAACUGGAGGACAGUUUUGUGAUGUAGGAUUAUGAAAGGGAAAACUUUUUAAAAAUAACAAGGAAACAAGCAGUAACAAUACAAAGGCUAGAAGACAACAAGAGGAUCUAUAACUUGAGAAUAAAGAAUGUGAAUUAAGAAGCUGGGGUACAAACAAAGGAACUACAAAGGUUAUUCACAGAAAUAAUUAAGGAAAAUUUCCCAAACAUAGGAAAAGGAAAGAUAUUCUGAUAUAUGAGGCAUACAGAACUCGAGCCACAUACAACCAAAACAGAGCUAUACCCAGGCAUAUAAUAAUCAAGAUCCCAGAAAUUCAAUAUAAGAACAUAAUAUUAAAAGCUGUUAGAGACAAGAAACAGAUCACCUAUAAAGGAAAGCCCAUCAGAAUAACAGUAGACUUCUCAACACAAACCAUCAAGUCAAGAAGAGCCUGGAGCAAAAUAGUCCAAGCCCUGAAAGAAAAUAACCUCCAUCCCAGAUUGAUAUAUACUGAUAAACUGUCUCUAGAAAUUAAUGGAGAAACAAGAUGCUUCCAAGACAAAGAGGAACUUGGGAAAUUCACAACCACCAAUCAAAGUCUACAGAGAAUACUGCAGGGCAUUCUAGAGAGAGAGAUAAGUACUAGGAUUCCAGGAACAGUGGCAGAGAGGCCUCAAUGAAUGGAGCAGAAAACAGAAAGAAGAAGAUAAGCAGACAACUGAUGGCUAAAAAAGAGCAUAACAGAAAUGAGGCAGAGAUGAUUUUAUUCAAAACUGAUAUGAUUGAUAGUAUCAAGUCUGAGAGUAUAGGCAACUACACUGAAAAUCACAUGACUCUAUGAUACACAUUCUGAUUUGAUAAUUGCCGGUUUUUGAAGUUCUAUGCUACAUACAAAGUUGUGACUUUAUUAAUACUGUUGUGUACUGAUAUAUGCAAUUAUAUUAUGUCUGAUGAUAUAGCCAAUUCUAUUGGAGAUAACAAGAGACAACACAGGAACCAUGGUAGAACUCUUUGUACAACGGUCUUACAUGUUUUUUUUUUGUUUGUUUCAUGUGUUUAUAGCAAUAUGUUUUGUUUUGUCUUGCUUUGUUUUGUUUCUCCCUCUAAUAUAGAAAGGAUAGAAAUACAUGUUAAGACUCAUGCAUAUGUAGAAUCUAUAAACAGUUUAUGAGAACUGACCUUAUGACACAUGAUGAAAUGAACAGAUACUUUAAAGAAAAAGAGACACUAAAA